rnacentral:rRNA from 1 species
GAUGAACGCUGGCGGCGUGCCUAAUACAUGCAAGUCGAGCGAACAGAUGAGGAGCUUGCUCCUCUGACGUUAGCGGCGGACGGGUGAGUAACACGUGGAUAACCUACCUAUAAGACUGGGAUAACUUCGGGAAACCGGAGCUAAUACCGGAUAAUAUAUUGAACCGCAUGGUUCAAUAGUGAAAGACGGUUUUGCUGUCACUUAUAGAUGGAUCCGCGCCGCAUUAGCUAGUUGGUAAGGUAACGGCUUACCAAGGCAACGAUGCGUAGCCGACCUGAGAGGGUGAUCGGCCACACUGGAACUGAGACACGGUCCAGACUCCUACGGGAGGCAGCAGUAGGGAAUCAUCCGCAAUGGGCGAAAGCCUGACGGAGCAACGCCGCGUGAGUGAUGAAGGUCUUCGGAUCGUAAAACUCUGUUAUUAGGGAAGAACAAAUGUGUAAGUAACUAUGCACGUCUUGACGGUACCUAAUCAGAAAGCCACGGCUAACUACGUA